UACGGAGGGUGCGAGCGUUGUCCGGAAUCACUUGGGCGUAAAGGGCGCGUAGGUGGCGGAGCAAGUCAACGGUGAAAGCUCGACGCUCAACGUCGAGUCGGCCGUACGAGACUGCUUUGCUCGAGCACUGUAGAGGCAGAUGGAAUUCCGGGUGUAGCGGUGGAAUGCGUAGAGAUCCGGAAGAACACCGGUGGCGAAGGCGGCCUGCUGGGCUAUGGCGUGACACUGAGGCGCGACA
rnacentral:rRNA from 1 species